CUCUUACCAGGGCGGCAGGGAAGGGGAGAGUGAGGGAUGUGUAGCACCGCUCAGCCAUUGCAGGCUGGUCAAAAGAGGAUGGUCUGGUCUAAAAAUGAACGAUGCUUCAGUCCAUCACAUAGACCGUGGCGCAGCGCUCCACCAUAGGUUAGUAAGACAGUUGUCUCCGUGACUGUGGAGAACAUGAUGAAGAAUUCCCUCCGUGACCAGUGAUCAGAAGACUGAUGAGACGGAUCAUAAACAUCAAAGCCCACUAGUGCUGAAGCUGCAGGACAGAAACCAGCAGCUAUGCCAAUCCGCUGAACGGCAGUUUGAGAGGAAGAACCGCUGAGGUACCGCCAAAUCCAUUCCUGCACAGGAAGUCUACACAGAUGCUGAGGGGCACUGACCAGUGGUGGUAAAUGAGCGUAAAUGAUUUUCACAGUAAAAGAGCCAAACUAGCAUGUGGACUGGAGAGAGCAACAUUCAUCUUUGCUCACACAAAAACAGCAACUGCUUUACUGUAUUUCACAAUUAAACUCAAGCAAUGCACACUUUAUGUAUUUAUUGUACAAAAACACUGAGUAAAAGUAAAGCUAGAUAAAGCUGGAGUAAAAAUACUGGAAAUAAAUGUGUUGCCUGGAAGAAAAAGCCUGGUGAAAGAAUUGCGAAAUUCUUCAAACUGCAGGUGGUGGACAUGUGCUAGUAUCUGGUAGCGACAGUCCAGUGUCAAUACCAUGGGCUAAACAUGCUUCACAUGCUCGGUGUGAAUGCAGCUUGAGAGAGAUGAUGAAACACAAAAAGAAGAUGAGGUGGAGAAAAAGGGCCGCAGGUAAACCAACAGAAAUGUUCUACAUUUAAAAUGUAUGUAGAGACGGAUUCCAUUCUAAAGAAACAGUAAAUCCAACACUUUUAGUGAAAAGUCUCUUGAAUACUUUCAUUUUGAUUUUAUGAGACACCAAAGCAGCCCAGCAGAAAUAAAAGUUAACACGAAGAGGUCAGUAAUUAAAAAAAAAAGUAAAAAGAAUUUUACUCAGAAAAUAAUCUGCUGUGAGUUUUCCAGUUUAAAAAAAAACAAAAAACUUAAGCUUUAAAUAAAUUAUUAAACAAUAAAUAUUCUAACUAUUGGUAACAUCUGAUUUUGCUGCCAAACCCUAACCCUAUUUCAUACAUGUAUGUAUAACAGUCGUAAUAGAAAUGUUCUUAUUUAUUAUAAAAAAUAAGUGAAAUAAAAAAUAAAAAAAAUCUAAAAAAAAUCUGAAACAUUUUCAUACUUCCAUCCACUUGGAUCCACCACGAGUAUAACAUGUUUGGGGUUGAAUGACAGUGUGGUGCAAAUGUGGGAGCUGAUGGUUUGCAGCCAAAUGGCUGCCAAGGACUUAGGUUACAUUGUCUAAAGGGGAAAAAAAAACAUAAAGAUGGAACAGCAAGCUGAAGCAGCAGACAUCACAAACAUUUGGGUUUGUUUACAAGGUGCAAGCUCUUUGGUUUGCAAACUAAAAUUCAUUUCAAAACAAAUAUUGAGAGCAAGACACAGUUAAAAGAGUAAUAUCUAGUUUAUUAUCUUAGUUUCUGUGUCUUGUCUUUUCUGUUGCACAGGUGCAGGAACUUGGAGGAGAUGUUAGGGUCGCCUUCCCUUAGUUCUGUCACACAACACUUUCAAACUGAUUCCUUUUCAAGAGUGACACCCUUUUUGUCCCUGCAUUUGUUUUACCAGGCCAAGGUUUUGUGAGGUCACAUCCUGUGAAACGGGCUUCCACCAAACAGGUAUACAGCUCAGAUCAGCUUUGUAGAAAAUGUCCACACCCAAAAUACAUUUAGAAUCAUACAUACAAGCUUUCAAAUCUUGAAAAACGGUAGUGUAACUACUGCAAUUUGUAUAAAAACAAGUACAAUCCAUCCAUUUAACUUCUUUCACUCUUCCAUGACCGAGUCCCGGGGGCAGCAGUCUGACUCUCCAGCGUGUUCUGGGUCUUCCCUGGGGCCUCCGCCGAAUGAGACAUGCUAAGGGCACCUCCGCUGGGAGGCAUCCAAGAGGCAUCUGAACCAGAUGCCUGACCCACCUCAACAGGCUCCCCUUGAUGUGGAGUGGCUCUACUUCGAGCUCUCUCACAGUGACUGAGCUCUUCACCUUAUCUCUAAAGGAGCGCCCAGCCACCAUACGGAGGAAGCUCAUCAUCCGCUUGUAUUCAGGACCUCGUUCUUUCGGUCAUUAGGUGAGAACUUGAACACAGAUCAACCGGUAAGUUUAGAACUUUGUUAUCUGACUCAGCUGUCUAUUCACUACAAUGGACCGGCACAGCGUCCGCAUCAAUCUCCCUGUCGAUCUUACAUCCGGAUUCCUUCCCUCGUGAAUAAGACCCCAAGACACUUAAACUCCUCCACCUGGGGCAGGAGCAUCACCCAGAGAGGGCCAACUACCUUUCUCUGGUCAAGAACCAUGACCUCAAAAAAGCGUGCUGACCCUCAUCCCAGCCACUUCACACUCGGCUGCAAACCUCCCCAAUGCAUGCUGGAGGUCCUGGGUUGAUGAAACCAACAGGACACCAUCAUCUAAAAAGAGCAGAGAGGAAAUACUGUAGUCCUCAAACCAAACAAACACCUAUUGUUAUUAGCUAUAAAAGAACUCUAAAGAAAUUGUUUGUUUGAAAAAACUUUUGAACCAUCCAUUUAAAAAUUAUUGCUAUUUUUGCAUUUUAACAACAUUAUUAACUUAUACUGUGGGGAUUGUGUUUUGCCCCCAAGCAAAUUAAACUAUCAUCUAACAAUGAAGACAACAAUUGUGUUUGGCUGGCCGACAAAAGAGGAAACAUCUCCUCCUGCAGCUCACUAGGGCUUAACUUAAGUGCCUCAUCCGACAUCAUUGUGGGUCACCAGUGACAGAAAUGUAAGGGGGUGAUAAAUAGGGCCAUUUUAGAGGGGUGACGAGAAGUAUAAGCUCCUUCAAACAGGGAUCAGGUGGUAAACAGGAUAAGGAGUGGCUAGGUUCAUGAAAAGUACCUCAAACCGUGGAUCCUCCAGACGCUCACUUUUAUGACAAGGGUUGCUUUCCUUCGUCUUUCUUCACAGACUCGCUGGCUCUUCCUCAAGGGGCAUCAAUCACGGCGCCUCUCAUCGCCACAAACCAUUCAAGUUGCCUGCCCCGUGCCCUAAAAAAGAAUGGCCUGUCAUUUCUAUGGUUAAAUUCAAUCCCAUCCACUUGAACAUGCAUCGACAGGGACCCGUCGGGACGAGAGCGUCAUUCAUCACAGCACAGCUGCUGUUGUUGCUGUGCAUAGCGGUUUACUUGUGUGUGCAUGGCAGAAGCCCAGAUUUGUCUUGGAGACGCCAGGGAAAGAUGAUAGGAGAGCAACGUGAUCGGCAAAGCAAUAGAGCAUUUAAGGUUGCAUCAGACAGCAUGAGAUUAUGAUUUUUUCCCCUUUUGUUCUGUCUCAGAGGCAAGAGCAGAGCACAGCUGUAGCCGUCCUUCACUAAAGCCUCCUCCCUCCAUUCUCCCUUCACACAGCUUCAGUGCUGGUAUUUUCAGGGUCACAAUGGAUUCCUGGAAAAUAAACUGUAUCAGGUCUCAUUUCUGUACAUUUCCACAUAUCUCUGCGUGUUUUAUUUCCUUGUAUUAGUCAUAAAAACAAAUCUCACAGUGGAUUUCUUGCAUUACCUUUUAAGAAAAUUAUUAGUAAAAUAAUCCAAACUGUUACCCCACUAGAGUUACGCUGCCAGGUAUACUGCAUUAUAGAUUAUGAUGGUGGUAGGUGGAAGAAAGAAUAUUCUAACUUAAAGACAUUGAUUUAAUAGAGUAACAUUGCAUUAGUAUUGUUUUUUUACUGUUUGUACCACAAAAAAACCAUCAAACUGAAAUGUGUCAGCAGUGUUUUGUCCUUUGUAGCUCUGGAGUAGUAAAUAAAAUAUUCAAACUGUACUGUUGUUUUGGUCUUUCAAGGCUUAU